UAUCCGACUCUUUAGGGCCCCACGAACUGCAGCACGCCAGGCGGUUUCCCGUUUUCUUAGAUUUGUGGUCUAUUGCCUCUCGCUGCGCUAUCCGGCGCAGCUGUCCGGGGCCGGGGGCACUCCAGCCGCGGGUGGCCUGCCGUUGUAAAGGCGCGGCCGGAGCCUCCGGUAGCUGUGUGUUCUCAGAGAGGCUGGCCCCGAGAUAGCUUCCCGCUGAAGUGAAUCAGUCUCCAAGGCUCUGUUGGAAUAAGGCAUCUCUACCGAGGAUCACAGUUACCCAGCUGGCGUGUGGAGCAUCACGGAGCUCUCAUCAUCCUGUUGCCUCUUCCUCCUCUUCCAGGAAUGCCCUCCUAGGUUUGGACAGUCUUCCAAGAACAACAGAAAAUGAGCAAAUGCCAGCUCCUUGAAGGCCAAACAAAAAGGACUGAUUUAACUCAACAGUCUUGGCAAGCUGGGACAAUUUCAGACGCAUGAAGUGUGCUGGCCAAGGACCCAUGUCAUUCAAGGACAUGACUGUGGACUUCACCCGGGAUGAGUGCUGACAACUGACGGGUAUCAGAGGAUGCUAUACUGGGAUGUGAUGCUGGAGAGCUACAGCCACUUAGUCUCUGUGGGGUACUGCACUGCCAAACCAGAGGUGAUCAUCAAGCUGGAGCAAGGAGAAGAGCUGUGGCCAUUAGAAUUCCCAGGCUGGAGUGGUCCCGACAAAGGCCACUCAGUCAUGUCUGGCUCUUUGCAACCCCACUGACUAGUCUGCCAGGCUCCUCUGUCCAUGAGAUUCUCCAGGCAAGAAUUCCGGAGUGGAUUGCUAUAACCUUCUCCAGAGGAUCUUCCCAACCCAGGGAUUGAACCCUGAUCUCCUGCACUGCAGACAGAUUCUUUACCAUUUGAGCUACAGGAAAGUGCUAAAUCUCAUCCCACCAUUGCUGGGUGGACAGAAUGAUCUCUGUUCGCUUCCAAGGCAAACCAUUCAAUAUCACAUGAAUCCAAGUCUAUGCCCCAACCAAUAAUGCUGAAGAAGCUGAAUUUGAACAGUUCUAUGAAGACCUACAAGACCUUUUAGAACUCACACCCAAAAAAGAUGUCCUUUUCAUUAUAGGGGACUGGAAUGCAAAAGUAGGAAGUCAAGAGAUACCUGGAAUAACAGUCAAAUUUGUCUUUGGAAUACAGAAUGAAGCAGGGCAAAGGCUAACAGAGUUUUGUGAAGAGAACGCAUUGGUCAUAGCAAACACCCUCUUCCAAAAACACAAGAGAAGACUACACAUCACCAGAUCAGACUGAUUAUAUUCUUUGCAGCCAAAGAUGAAGCUCUAUACAGUCAGCAAAAACAAGACUGGGAGCUGACUGUGGCUCAGAUCAUGAACUCCUUAUUUCCAAAUUCAGACUUAAAUUGCAGAAAGUAGGGAAAACCACUAGACCAUUCAGGUAUGACCUAAAUCAAAUCCCUUAUGAUUAUACAAUGGAAGUGACAAACAGAUUCAAGGGAUUAGAUCUGAUAGAGUGCCUGAUGAACUAUGGAUGGAGGUUCGUGACAUUGUACAGGAGGCAGGGAUCAAGACCAUCCCCAAGAAAAAGAAAUGCAAAAAGGCAAAAUGGUUGUCUGAGGAGGCCUUACAAAUAGCUGAGAAAAGAAGAGAAGCAAAAGGCAAAGAAGAAAAAGAAAGAUAUGCCCUUGCUGCUGCCAAGUCACUUCAGUCGUGUCUGACUCUGUGCGACCCCAUGGACUGCAGCCUACCAGGCUUCUCCGUCCAUGGGAUUCUCCAGGCAAGAAUACUGGAGUGGGCUGCCAUUUCCUUCUGCAGUGCAUGAAAGUGGAAAGUGAAAGUGAAGUCACUCAGUCGUGUCUGACUCUUAGUGACCCCAUGGACUGCAGCCCACCAGGCUCCUCCAUCCAUGGGAUUUUCCGGGCAACAGUACUGGCGUGGGGUGCCAUUGCCUUCUCCCAUACCCUUGCUAUAUCUUGCUAUUCUUUGAAUGCAGAGCUCCAAAGAAUAGCAAGGAGAGGUAAGAAAGCCUUCCUCAGAGAUCAACGCAAAGAAAUAAGAGGAAAAAAUAGAAAAGACUAGAGGUCUCUUCAAGAAAAUUAGAGAUAUCAAGGGAACAUUUCAUGCAAAGAUGGGCACAAUAAAAGACAAAUGGUAUGGACCUAAAAGAAACAGAAGAUGUUAAGAGG
ensembl:lncRNA